UUUCUCUGUAUAGGGGUAGGAGGUAGUGACUGUGAACUGUAUAACUCUACAGACUGAACAACUACCGGUCUCUUUUUUGCGGUUAGCUGGUCGAUGUGCUCCUCUGUGAUGAACACGGCGCCAUUACUUCGGAUGGCCGGAUGUGCACUCUGGACUGGAUCACUUGUGCUUCAAGAUUUUGGAUAAGCAUCUGGAUUAAAGGUCUGUCUGUCUUUUUAGAAAGACAUGAAGUGUAUGAAUUGAAAGGGUGAUUUCCUGAUGCCUUGGUGUCCACAUGAUGGCGCUCUUCUCCCAACUCUGGAAUGACAAAGCCCUCACUCAUUCCAUUUUGCUGCGUAAGCCUAAGAUGGGUCUGUCCUGAAUGGACUAAAUGCUCAACAUCAGAGCUGGGAAUGGUGCCAAGCCAGAUUUUCAGCAUUACACACAUCACUUUUCAAAGGGGGUCAGCCAUGUAAUGCCACUGGUGAUCCUUAAUGCAGUGAUCCCACAUCAGUGCCCUGAGAAAUACCAUGCAGGUGUUUAUAGGGUGGUUCAGAUCAACUGGAGAGUCUAAGCUGAUGAACAAAAGUUUGCUGUAGUGUGUAAUGUUUUUCUAAUAAAAGUGUGAAAUGAUUAGGCUUUUGUGAAGAUUUGAUAUCAAACUCCUUUGUUUGUUUGUGUGGUUAAUGUCCUAACUUCCUCACCAAUUAAAAAGUCCUUUGCUAUAAAA